AUUGAACGCUGGCGGCAUGCCUUACACAUGCAAGUCGAACGGUAACAGGUCUUCGGAUGCUGACGAGUGGCGAACGGGCGAGUAAUACAUCGGAACGUGCCCGAUCGUGGGGGAUAACGGAGCGAAAGCUUUGCUAAUACCGCAUACGAUCUACGGAUGAGAGCAGGGGACGGCAAGGCCUUGCGCGGACGGAGCGGCCGAUGGCAGCUUAGGUAGUUGUUGGGGUUAAAGCUUACCAAGCCGACGAGCUGUAGCGGGUCUGAGAGGACGAGCAGCCACACUGGAACUGAGACACGGCCCAUACUCCUGCGGGAGGCAGCAGUGGGCAAUUUUGGACAAUGGGCGAAAGCCUUAUCCAGCCAUGCCGCGUGCAGGAUGAAGGCCUUCGGGUUGUAAACUGCUUUUGUACGGAACGAAAAGACUCUUUCUAAUAAAGAGGGUCCAUGACGGUACCGUAAGAAUAAGCACCGGCUAACUACGUG
rnacentral:rRNA from 1 species